CUUCCUUCCAUGAGUCAAGAGAACCCUAGGAUAUGACAGUUUCAUCUUUUUCAACAUAUUGAGACAUAGGUGGUAUAACCAUGGGUUGAGAAAGUGAGUCUUUUAGUUUAACUCACUAAUCUACCACUAAAUAUAGAUUUACUUAUAGUAUGUCAUUCAUUCAGUUUAAAAUAAGAUCUUAUAAAAUUCUAAAAUAUCAGUUUUAUAUAAGAUUUUUAAAUUUAGAAAAUGUUACAAAAACAACUCAAAAGUACUAUUACCAUCUAAGACAACAAAGUUUAUUCUUGAUGUGUUUCUGCAUACAAAGAAAACUUCAGGAUUUCAAAAUAACAAUUUAUUGGAUCAUAAUGAGGAUACAGAGAUCAUAGCCAAAGAAGUAUCAUAACAGCGUAGAAGAAAUACUGAGAAAAAAUAGUUAAUAUUUGAAAAUGCACAUACACCUUGAACCCACUCCUUUAGAAAAUCCUAGAAAACACAAGAAUAUCAAAGCUUUAUUCCACUGCUGUCAAAGUGAUGACAUACCAUGCCAUGUAUUCUUUGAAAAAUUCUGCCCUGCACUCACGAGAGAAUGAGAGUGAAACGCAAAUAACAUCUCAGUGUUCCUAUGAAAAUAGUUUUGACGUGGUUUACCCCUCAAAAAGUCUCAGGAACCCAGAUCACAUUUUGAGAACCACUACUUAAACUCUAGAUCACACAGUUUCACAUGUAUUUUGGGCAAAAUUUUGGAAUAUCUUGGAGCCCCUAACAUUGUUUCUUCCAGUAACCUUUAAUAAAGACACAUAUCCAAGUGUCCAUACACUCUAAUGGAGGUGGUUUUGUGAGAAACUGAUGAAAUUAUCUUCUGUCUAAUGUGUCUCUUGGAGGAGAUUUGGGACACUCAGAUUACUGGUUCAAAACCAGAUCUAUGAAACCAUCUUCCCAAAAUAACACUGUUCUCCUUCAUGCUUUGGAUAGAAAUUGAUCAUCAGUGUUUUCUAGGGAACAUGUGGCAGUGGCAUGCAGGUAUCACAUGUAAUGACAAGUGUUAUUUAUACCUAUCAAAGCAAAUGUCUUUAAAAGGAAAUUGUCUCUCCAAUUAUUGGAGUUUUACAAUUUUCAUUAAAAGGAAAUUGUCUCUCCAAAUCUUGAGUUUUACAAUUUCCAUUAUCUUAUAAAUUUUGUAGCUUUAAUAUUUGCUUAUCUGCCUGCCCCUGACAUUCCUGAGCUAUAAUAAUCAGGAAAGCUCAACAGACCUGUGCCAAGGUUCACCUAACCUAGUACCUAACCUCAUGUUUGUUUUACAUGCAUAAGACAAUUCUGGGAAGAUUAAAGUGUAAAUUCCUAGUGGAGAAUUUGAGUGGCCAUUUUAAUUAUUUAAUUAAUUAAUUUUGGUCCAGCACUCUUGUCUGAUAUUUUCUUCAGGUGACAGACUACACUUUUGAGAAACAAUGGUGUUUUUCUUGUGCACCUCUGACUUGAAUAUACCAAUCUGAACCGCUGCCAGUGGAGAAUCUAACCACCUUCAAAAUGAUAUCACUUUCAUUCAAUAAUAAACAUACCCAAGAUUUGAUGCUUAGCCUCCCGUAGCUCUUCUUCUGAGUACUUGUUCUGAAUGAUGCUAUCGUUUUGUCUAAAUUCAAAAUCAAUCUCAGUUUUCGUGAUAGUUUGAUUUCUAUUAUAAUAUUUCAACAUUUUUAGAUUGUGAUUUUAUAUGACCUAGCUUGAGAAGGAUUAAUGCCUAAAUAAAUCUCUUACACUUUCAGCUUUCCUGAAAUCCCACGUAACCCACAAUAGCUCUCAAAAGCUUCAAAAAAUAGUGAUGAAAAAGGUUAACUCUGAUGCUGUUCUGGAGCUGAAAGCAGAUUUUGACCUUGGAUAAACAUGCUGGAUUUUCGCUAUUGAAUGUAUUGGGCACAAUUCAAGGUACACAGUCAUUCCAGAAUGUACUUGAUAAAAAUAAGAAAUUUGCAUGUCUUAGAGGGACAUGGACACAUUCUUUAUACUCAGUUGCAGACUGGUUGUUUUAAAAAAUUAAGUGUUAACAAUUUGCUUACAGUUCUUGCUCAUAUAUGGUAACUCGAAAAUUGUCAGUGCUGAGUUUAGCUGGAAAACUCCUGGAAGUGUCAACCCAUUCUCAAAAUAAAUGGUUUUCACAGCUAUGAUUUUAUACAAAAAUUUUGAGCGGUUUAGAGUAUCAAUCCUUUUCAUUACCAUUGUGCUUCAUUUAAAUUAAAUUUUCAAGAGAGUUAAUG
rnacentral:lncRNA from 1 species